AGAGUUUGAUCCUGGCUCAGGGCGAACGCUGGCGGCGUGCCUAAUACAUGCAAGUCAAGCGGACAGAUGGGAGCUUGCUCCCUGAUGUUAGCGGCGGACGGGUGAGUAACACGUGGGUAACCUGCCUGUAAGACUGGGAUAACUCCGGGAAACCGGGGCUAAUACCGGAUGGUUGUUUGAACCGCAUGGUUCAAACAUAAAAGGUGGCUUCGGCUACCACUUACAGAUGGACCCGCGGCGCAUUAGCUAGUUGGUGAGGUAACGGCUCACCAAGGCGACGAUGCGUAGCCGACCUGAGAGGGUGAUCGGCCACACUGGGACUGAGACACGGCCCAGACUCCUACAGGAGGCAGCAGUAGGGAAUCUUCCGCAAUGGACGAAAGUCUGACGGAGCAACGCCGCGUGAGUGAUGAAGGUUUUCGGAUCGUAAAGCUCUGUUGUUAGGGAAGAACAAGUACCGUUCGAAUAGGGCGGUACCUUGACGGUACCUAACCAGAAAGCCACGGCUAACUACGUGCCAGCAGCCGCGGUAAUACGUAGGUGGCAAGCGUUGUCCGGAAUUAUUGGGCGUAAAGGGCUCGCAGGCGGUUUCUUAAGUCUGAUGUGAAAGCCCCCGGCUCAACCGGGGAGGGUCAUUGGAAACUGGGGAACUUGAGUGCAGAAGAGGAGAGUGGAAUUCCACGUGUAGCGGUGAAAUGCGUAGAGAUGUGGAGGAACACCAGUGGCGAAGGCGACUCUCUGGUCUGUAACUGACGCUGAGGAGCGAAAGCGUGGGGAGCGAACAGGAUUAGAUACCCUGGUAGUCCACGCCGUAAACGAUGAGUGCUAAGUGUUAGGGGGUUUCCGCCCCUUAGUGCUGCAGCUAACGCAUUAAGCACUCCGCCUGGGGAGUACGGUCGCAAGACUGAAACUCAAAGGAAUUGACGGGGGCCCGCACAAGCGGUGGAGCAUGUGGUUUAAUUCGAAGCAACGCGAAGAACCUUACCAGGUCUUGACAUCCUCUGACAAUCCUAGAGAUAGGACGUCCCCUUCGGGGGCAGAGUGACAGGUGGUGCAUGGUUGUCGUCAGCUCGUGUCGUGAGAUGUUGGGUUAAGUCCCGCAACGAGCGCAACCCUUGAUCUUAGUUGCCAGCAUUCAGUUGGGCACUCUAAGGUGACUGCCGGUGACAAACCGGAGGAAGGUGGGGAUGACGUCAAAUCAUCAUGCCCCUUAUGACCUGGGCUACACACGUGCUACAAUGGACAGAACAAAGGGCAGCGAAACCGCGAGGUUAAGCCAAUCCCACAAAUCUGUUCUCAGUUCGGAUCGCAGUCUGCAACUCGACUGCGUGAAGCUGGAAUCGCUAGUAAUCGCGGAUCAGCAUGCCGCGGUGAAUACGUUCCCGGGCCUUGUACACACCGCCCGUCACACCACGAGAGUUUGUAACACCCGAAGUCGGUGAGGUAACCUUUUAGGAGCCAGCCGCCGAAGGUGGGACAGAUGAUUGGGGUGAAGUCGUAACAAGGUA
rnacentral:rRNA from 1 species